AUUUACGGCCAUACCACCCUGAACGUGCCUGAUCUCAUCUGAUCUCGGAAGCUACAUGGGUCAGGCCCAGUGAGUACUUAGAUGGGAAGAAAGGCUGUUAAACUAUUCUAGAUUAACAGAGACUGAAAAAA
rnacentral:rRNA from 1 species